rnacentral:misc_RNA from 1 species
GAAAUGCGAUAAGUAAUGUGAAUUGCAGAAUUCAGUGAAUCAUCGAAUCUUUGAACGCACCUUGCGCUCCUUGGUAUUCCUUGGAGCAUGCCUGUUUGAGUAUCAUGAAAUCUUCAAAGUAAACCUUUUGUUAACUCAAUUGGUUUCUACUUUGGUAUUGGAGGUCUUUGCAGCUUCACACCUGCUCCUCUUUGUUCAUUAGCUGGAUCUCAGUGUUAUGCUUGGUUCCACUCGGCGUGAUAAGUUAUCUAUCGCUGAGGACACUGUAAAAGGUGGCCAAGGUAAAUGCAGAUGAACCGCUUCUAAUAGUCCAUUGACUUGGACAAUACUUUUAUGAUCUGAACUCAAAUCAGGUAGGACUACCCGCUGAACUUAAGC